UACAGAGGUCUCAAGCGUUGUUCGGAUUCAUUGGGCGUAAAGGGUGCGUAGGUGGCGCUGUAAGUCGGGUGUGAAAUUUCGGAGCUUAACUCCGAAACUGCAUUCGAUACUGCGGUGCUUGAGGACUGGAGAGGAGACUGGAAUUCAUGGUGUAGCAGUGAAAUGCGUAGAGAUCAGGAAGAACACCGGUGGCGAAAGCGCUCUGCUGGACCUUAACUGACACUGAGGGACGAAAGCUAGGGGAGCGAAUGGG
rnacentral:rRNA from 1 species